CAGAAAAUUGCAGAGAAAAGUACAGAUUAGAACUCUCCCAUUAACAAUGCUAGCUUAUGGCAAAAUUACUAACUGUUUAGUCUUAGUUUCUUCAGAGCUCUACGCUGCUGUCCCUUCUGGCUACUUUUGCAUACCCUCCAAACACAUCCAGACAGCAACAGAAAGCAGUCCCAGCGGUAUUGGGGACCUUCAAUGAACAACCCUCCCAUUUCCUUCUGAACAGAACACUGUUUCAAGAGUACAAACCAAGGCAAGGGCGUCUGCCCCAUCAACAGCCCAGAGGGCUCACAAAGGAGGCUCCCAUUCCAAGCCAAACUCGACAAAACCAGCACGGGAACCAGCAGGCCCCCAGCUUCUCUCUGCAGAAUGAAAAGCUCUGAAGAAGGGUGUCUACCUGCUAAGGUAACACACUCACUUCUCGUUCCGGAACUGUCUUCUCAAGCACACUACUGUAAGGAGACUGGGGCACCAGUGACUACUGACGGAGCAUGUGGCAGCUAGCGGGACUAGAAGAAAGGCAUCCGCUGGGUCGCAUCCUCCCUUGCCACGGUGGACAGCAAAUUUUAAGGGUACAGUCCACCAGCAGAGGGAAGGAAUGUCAAUCAGAUGUCCACACAGCAAAUGCAGCCAGGAAACAGAGCUGGCUUCCUCCUGCCUAUUCAGUACAAGGUCUCAACCCAUGGAACGGAGCUGCGCACAUUUCACGGUCCCUACAACAGACCACUACACUAUGAACGUGCUACAGAGAAUGUGAUCACUGCUUGCUACCCGCAAACCCCCAUCCGCCUGCCAAGAACCAACUGAAAUAAAGCCUCCACUGUGUGCUGUUAGAGACCCUUCUGCUUUCAAAGCCUCACUUGUUCGUGGUGUCAAAGACACAUGUCUACCCAUCUGAGACGCUUCAUGGCAAGUGUGUUUUCCUGUAACAACUUCUGUAUCCCCAAGUUCCCAAGAUAUUGCCUAGCACA